CACAUAUCAGGAGUAAAUAAAAUUUAAAGGAUAAUAUUUAGCAGUAUACUACAUAUCGCUUAAAGCACGAUUGUGUACAAUUUAUUAGAUAACAAAGUGGUGUUUUCAUCUGAUCCACAGACACAAAACAAUCAAAAGCUGAAAAAGUGUGCCCUCCUGACAAACCUGCUCAAGUUUGUACUGACAACAUCUGUGGCAAGCUUUACUGUCGUUGGAACCAAUACGCACACUGCGUCAUCGACAUCUGUGGAACCUGCUCAGCAAAGUUUGUUAACGACAAGGGUGACGAGAUUGACUGUAACAAAGUUCCAAGCAGGUGUGUGUUAGAACGGCAGCGUGGGGAAUAUCAGAGAAUGGCCGGUGCAGAUGAUGUUGUUAUUCCAGACUGUGACGAAGAUGGGAGAUACUCGGCAGUGCAAUGUGACCUCGAGUCAGACGAGUGUUGGUGUGUUGAUGACAUGGGUGUAAAAAUUGAAGGGGGAAAUAUCGGUACGAUUGAGGACAAGCCAAAUUGCC